UACGUAGGGUGCAAGCGUUGUCCGGAAUUAUUGGGCGUAAAGGGCGCGUAGGCGGCCACGCACGUCCGUUGUGAAAUCGCCCGGCUCAACUGGGCGGGGUCAGCGGAUACGGUGUGGCUCGAGCAAGCUAGGGGGCAAUGGAAUUCCCGGUGUAGUGGUGGAAUGCGUAGAUAUCGGGAGGAACACCAGUGGCGAAGGCGGUUGCCUGGAGCUUUGCUGACGCUGAGGCGCGAAAGCGUGGGGAGCGAUCCGG
rnacentral:rRNA from 1 species